rnacentral:rRNA from 1 species
AUGAACGCUGGCGGCAGGCCUCACACAUGCAAGUCGAGCGAGCAUUUCGGUGCUAGCGGCGGACGGGUGAGUAACGCGUGGGAACGUGCCCUUUUCUGCGGAAUAGUCCUGGGAAACUGGGGGUAAUACCGCAUACGCCCUUUUGGGGAAAGAUUUAUCGGAGAAGGAUCGGCCCGCGUUGGAUUAGGUAGUUGGUGGGGUAAUGGCCCACCAAGCCGACGAUCCAUAGCUGGUUUGAGAGGAUGAUCAGCCACACUGGGGCUGAGACACGGCCCAGACUCCUACGGGAGGCAGCAGUGGGGAAUCUUAGACAAUGGGGGCAACCCUGAUCUAGCCAUGCCGCGUGAGUGAUGAAGGCCUUAGGGUUGUAAAGCUCUUUCAGCUGGGAAGAUAAUGACGGUACCAGCAGAAGAAGCCCCGGCUAACUCCGUG